rnacentral:rRNA from 1 species
CUACGGGGCGCAACAGUGAGGAAUAUUGCACAAUGGGGGGAACCCUGAUGCAGCAACGCCGCGUGGAGGAUGACGCAUUUCGGUGUGUAAACUCCUUUUAUAUGUCAAGAAAAUGACGGUAGCAUAUGAAUAAGCACCGGCUAACUCCGUGCCAGCAGCCGCGGUAAUACGGAGGGUGCAAGCGUUACUCGGAAUCACUGGGCGUAAAGGACGCGUAGGCGGGCUUGUAAGUCAGGUGUGAAAUCCUACAGCUUAACUGUAGAACUGCACUUGAAACUACGAGCCUAGAGUAUGGGAGGGGGAGAUGGAAUGAGUGGUGUAGGGGUAAAAUCCGUAGAUAUCACUAGGAAUACCUAAAGCGAAGGCGAUCUCCUGGAACAUAACUGACGCUAAGGCGUGAAAGCGUGGGGAGCAAACAGGAUUAGAUACCCGCGUAGUC